rnacentral:rRNA from 1 species
AGUGAACGUUGGCGGCGUGGAUUAGGCAUGCGAGUCGAGCGAGAACCGUAGCAAUACGGGGACAGCGGCGAAAGGGACAGUAAUAUGUAGGUACCUACCCUCGGGUCCGGGAUAGCUGCGGGAAACUGCAGGUAAUACCGGAUGACAUCUCCGGAUCAAAGGUGUGAUUCCGCCCGGGGAGGGGCCUGCAUCCUAUUAGCUUGUUGGUGGGGUAACGGCCUACCAAGGCGACGAUGGGUAGCGGGUGUGAGAGCACGACCCGCGUCAUUGGGACUGAGACACUGCCCAGACACCUACGGGUGGCUGCAGUCGAGAAUCUUCGGCAAUGGGGGAAACCCUGACCGAGCGACGCCGCGUGCGGGAUGAAGGCCUUCGGGUUGUAAACCGCUGUCGUAGAGGAGGAAGUGCAGGGGGGUUCUCCCCUCUGUUUGACCUAUUCUAGGAGGAAGGACGGGCUAAGUUCGUGCCAGCCGCCGCCGUAACAC